rnacentral:rRNA from 1 species
GACGAACGCUGGCGGCGUGCUUAACACAUGCAAGUCGAACGGAAAGGCCCCCUUGUGGGGUACUCGAGUGGCGAACGGGUGAGUAACACGUGAGUAACCUACCCUUGACUUUGGGAUAACUUCAGGAAACUGGGGCUAAUACCGGAUAGGAGCUCCUGCUGCAUGGUGGGGGUUGGAAAGUUUCGGCGGUUGGGGAUGGACUCGCGGCUUAUCAGCUUGUUGGUGGGGUAGUGGCUCACCAAGGCUUUGACGGGUAGCCGGCCUGAGAGGGUGACCGGCCACAUUGGGACUGAGAUACGGCCCAGACUCCUACGGGAGGCAGCAGUGGGGAAUAUUGCACAAUGGGCGGAAGCCUGAUGCAGCAACGCCGCGUGCGGGAUGACGGCCUUCGGGUUAUAAACCGCUUUCGCCUGUGACGAAGCGUGAGUGACGGUAAUGGGUAAAGAAGCACCGGCUAACUACGUG